ACUAACUAGGAUUCCCUCAGUAGCGGCGAGCGAACAGGGAAAAGCCCAGCACCGAAUCCCGCGGCCGUUGCCGGUCGCCGGGAAAUGUGGUGUUAGGGAGGAUCCGCUAUCCCGAGGUCGCGCGGCGUGCCCAAGUCCUUCUUGAACGGGGCCACUUACCCAUAGAGGGUGCCAGGCCCGUAGAGGCCGCCGCCGGCAGCGGGAGGAUCUCUCCUCAGAGUCGGGUUGCUUGAGAGUGCAGCCCUAAGUGGGUGGUAAACUCCAUCUAAGGCUAAAUAUAACCACGAGACCGAUAGCGAACAAGUACCGUGAGGGAAAGUUGAAAAGAACUUUGAAGAGAGAGUUCAAUAGUACGUGAAACCGUUCAGGGGUAAACCUGAGAAACUCGAAAGAUCGAAUGGGGAGAUUCAGCGCGUUUCGUUGUGCGCGAGUGGCGGUGGUGCGACGGUCGGCGUCUUCGUCGGCCGCGUCCUCGCCUCCGCAGUGCGGCGAACGUGUGCACUUCUCCCCUAGUAGAAGGUUGCGACCCGUUGGGUGCCGGUCUAAGGCCCGCGGUGGAGCCCGUGCGAGUCGUUUCGGCGUCUCGUCGCGGACCCGCGGUGCCCGGCCGGCCCGCUCGACGGUACGACAGUGGCGCGGGGCCGCGAUUUUCGCGUCCGGCCCGUCGCAAGCACGGACGGUUCAAUCCGGCGGUCGGACCUAGCGCCGACUCCGGACCCGCCCGGCUGCUGGCGGCGGUGUCCUCGGACAGACCCCGAUACGCCGGUCGGCAACGCUUUAGCUUUGGGUACUUUCAGGANNNNNNNNNNNNNNNNNNNNNNNNNNNNNAGCAUGUGCGCGAGUCAUUGGGACUAGCGAAACCUAAAGGCGAAAUGAAAGUGAAGGCCGCUUCAGGGCGUGCCGAGGGAGGAUGCGUCGCGCCUAGGCGCGGCGCCGCACUCCCGGGGCGUCUCGUGCUCAUUGCGAGCUGAGGCGCACCCAGAGCGUACACGCUGGGACCCGAAAGAUGGUGAACUAUGCCUGGUCAGGACGAAGUCAGGGGAAACCCUGAUGGAGGUCCGUAGCGAUUCUGACGUGCAAAUCGAUCGUCGGAACUGGGUAUAGGGGCGAAAGACUAAUCGAACCAUCUAGUAGCUGGUUCCCUCCGAAGUUUCCCUCAGGAUAGCUGGCGCUCGUGUGCGAGUCUCAUCCGGUAAAGCGAAUGAUUAGAGGCAUUGGGGUCGAAACGGCCUCAACCUAUUCUCAAACUUUAAAUGGGUGAGAUCUCCGGCUUGCUUGAACAGUGAAGCCGCGAGAUGAUCUAAUCUAAGGAUCAGAG
rnacentral:rRNA from 1 species